UAGGGAAUAUUGCUCAAUGGGCGAAAGCCUGAAGCAGCAACGCCGCGUGGAGGAUGAAGGUUUUAGGAUUGUAAACUCCUUUUGUUAGAGAAGAUUAUGACGGUAUCUAACGAAUAAGCACCGGCUAACUCCGUGCCAGCAGCCGCGGUAAUACGGAGGGUGCAAGCGUUACUCGGAAUCACUGGGCGUAAAGAGCGCGUAGGCGGGAUAGUAAGUCAGAUGUGAAAUCCUGUAGCUUAACUACAGAACUGCAUUUGAAACUGCUAUUCUAGAGUAUGGGAGAGGUAGGUGGAAUUCUUGGUGUAGGGGUAAAAUCCGUAGAGAUCAAGAGGAAUACUCAUUGCGAAGGCAGGUUACCAAGAUAUAACUGACGCUGAGGGACGAAAGCGUGGGGAGCGAA
rnacentral:rRNA from 1 species